UACGUAGGUCCCGAGCGUUGUCCGGAUUUAUUGGGCGUAAAGCGAGCGCAGGCGGUUAGAUAAGUCUGAAGUUAAAGGCUGUGGCUUAACCAUAGUACGCUUUGGAAACUGUUUAACUUGAGUGCAAGAGGGGAGAGUGGGAUUCUAUGCGUAGCGGUGAAAUGCGUAGAUAUAUGGAGGAACACCGGUGGCGAAAGCGGCUCUCUGGCUUGUAACUGACGCUGAGGCUCGAAAGCGUGGGGAGCAAACAGGAUUAGAUACCCUGGUAGUCCACGCCGUAAACGAUGAGUGCUAGGUGUUAGACCCUUUCCGGGGUUUAGUGCCGCAGCUAACGCAUUAAGCACUCCGCCUGGGGAGUACGACCGCAAGGUUGAA
rnacentral:rRNA from 1 species